rnacentral:rRNA from 1 species
AGCGAACGCUGGCGGCAGGCCUAAUACAUGCAAGUCGAGCGCACCUUCGGGUGAGCGGCGGACGGGUGAGUAACGCGUGGGAACGUGCCCUUUGGUACGGAACAACUGAGGGAAACUUCAGCUAAUACCGUAUGUGCCCUAUGGGGGAAAGAUUUAUCGCCAUUGGAGCGGCCCGCGUUGGAUUAGGUAGUUGGUGAGGUAAAGGCUCACCAAGCCUACGAUCCAUAGCU